CAAAGGUUACUUUUGCUCUGUCUUCUGGCUUGUAAGGCAUGGGAAGGUGGGAAGAGGCCUUUUUGCUGAAUUGAAGGGGUGAAGAAUAAACAGAAAAGAGAGAGAAACAGUCAAGUAAUGGAAUCUCUGAGUCCUUCCAUCACCCUUUACAAGCAUGACUGGCAUCCUAAAACCUGACUAACUGGAGCGUCUGACUGAAGAGAUCACAGAAUGAUCCAUGUUGUCAAACACUGGCAGAUC
rnacentral:lncRNA from 1 species